rnacentral:rRNA from 1 species
CCUGCUCAAUGUAACUAAAUAGCCGCUUUAAGUGCUAAGGUAGCAUAAUAAAUUGCUCUCUAAUUAAGAGAUAGAAUGAAAGGAACCACGAUUUAUUAAUUAUAUCCAACUAAUUAUACUAAAUUAACUAAUUUGUUAAAACUCAAUUUUCAACUAAGAAGGACGACAAGACCCUAUCGAACUUUACUUCUAGUUUUACUGGGAAGGUUACUAACUAUAUCUUUUUCUUCUUUUCUCAAUCCACGCUUACAUUUGAAUUAAAUCAAGUUACCGUAGGGAUAACAGCAUAAUAAUUUACUAAAGCCCUUAUAUAAUAAAUUGAUUAUGACCUCGAUGUUGAAUUAAUAAACCUCUUUUUAGAAAAAUAAUUUAAAGGAAGUCUGUUCGACUUUAAAAACAUUACAU